rnacentral:tRNA from 1 species
GUGCCCGUGGUGUAAAGGCAGCAUAUCCGCUUGUGAGGCGAACGGUGCCGGUUCGAACGCGGUCGGGCACA